rnacentral:rRNA from 1 species
UACGUAGGGUGCAAGCGUUGUCCGGAAUUAUUGGGCGUAAAGAGCUCGUAGGCGGUCUGUCGCGUCUGCUGUGAAAACUCGGGGCUUAACCCCGGGCCUGCAGUGGGUACGGGCAGACUAGAGUGCGGUAGGGGAGACUGGAAUUCCUGGUGUAGCGGUGAAAUGCGCAGAUAUCAGGAGGAACACCGGUGGCGAAGGCGAGUCUCGUGGGCCGUAACUGACGCUGAGGAGCGAAAGCAUGGGGAGCGAACAGG